UACAGAGGUGGCAAGCGUUGUUCGGAAUUACUGGGCGUAAAGGGCGCGUAGGCGGCCUUGUAAGUCCUGUGUGAAAUCCCCCGGCUCAACUGGGGAACUGCACAGGAGACUGCUUGGCUUGAGUUCGGGAGAGGGAAGCGGAAUUCCGGGUGUAGCGGUGAAAUGCGUAGAUAUCCGGAGGAACACCGGUGGCGAAGGCGGCUUCCUGGACCGACACUGACGCUGAGGCGCGAAAGCCAGGGGAGUAAACGGG
rnacentral:rRNA from 1 species